AGUCGUAACAAGGUAACCGUAGGGGAACCUGCGGUUGGAUCACCUCCUUACCUGAAAGAACUGU
rnacentral:rRNA from 1 species